rnacentral:rRNA from 1 species
AUCGCAAGACCUCGCGCGGACGGAGCGGCCGAUGGCAGAUUAGGUAGUUGGUGGGAUAAAAGCUUACCAAGCCGACGAUCUGUAGCUGGUCUGAGAGGACGACCAGCCACACUGGGACUGAGACACGGCCCAGACUCCUACGGGAGGCAGCAGUGGGGAAUUUUGGACAAUGGGCGAAAGCCUGAUCCAGCAAUGCCGCGUGCAGGAUGAAGGCCUUCGGGUUGUAAACUGCUUUUGUACGGAACGAAAAGACUCUGGUUAAUACCUGGGGUUCAUGACGGUACCGUAAGAAUAAGCACCGGCUAACUACGUGCCAGCAGCCGCGGUAAUACGUAGGGUGCAAGCGUUAAUCGGAAUUACUGGGCGUAAAGCGUGCGCAGGCGGUGAUGUAAGACAGAUGUGAAAUCCCCGGGCUCAACCUGGGAACUGCAUUAGUGACUGCAUCGCUGGAGUGCGGCAGAGGGGGAUGGAAUUCCGCGUGUAGCAGUGAAAUGCGUAGAUAUGCGGAGGAACACCGAUGGCGAAGGCAAUCCCCUGGGCCUGCACUGACGCUCAUGCACGAAAGCGUGGGGAGCAAACAGGAUUAGAUACCCCGGUAGUCCACGCCCUAAACGAUGCACACUAGUUGUUGUGAGGCUAGACCUUGCAGUAAUGCAG